rnacentral:rRNA from 1 species
GACGAACGCUGGCGGUGUGCUUAACACAUGCAAGUCGAACGGUAAGGCCCUUUCGGGGGUACACGAGUGGCGCACGGGUGAGUAACACGUGAGUAACCUGCCCUCAUCUCUGGGAUAACAGUCGGAAACGGUUGCUAAUACUGGAUAUGAGCUUGCAAGGCAUCUUGUGGGUUGGAAAGAUUUUUUUUGGUUGGGGAUGGACUCGCGGCCUAUCAGCUUGUUGGUGAGGUAGUGGCUCACCAAGGCUUCGACGGGUAGCCGGCCUGAGAGGGCGACCGGCCAAAUUGGGAAUGAGAAACGGCCCAAACCCCACCGGGGGGAAGAGGGGGGGAAUUUUGCAAAAGGGGGGGAAGUCUGGUGCAGAAACGCCGGGGGGGGGGUGACGGCCUUCGGGUUGAAACCCGUUUUAAAUUGGGACGAAGCUUUUUUGGACGGGAAGCAAUAAAAAAAGCACCGGCAAACUACGU